rnacentral:rRNA from 1 species
AUUGAACGCUGGCGGCAUGCCUUACACAUGCAAGUCGAACGGCAGCACGGGAGCAAUCCUGGUGGCGAGUGGCGAACGGGUGAGUAAUAUAUCGGAACGUGCCCAGUCGUGGGGGAUAACGUAGCGAAAGCUACGCUAAUACCGCAUACGAUCUAUGGAUGAAAGCGGGGGAUCGCAAGACCUCGCGCGAUUGGAGCGGCCGAUAUCAGAUUAGGUAGUUGGUGAGGUAAAGGCUCGCCAAGCCGACGAUCUGUAGCUGGUCUGAGAGGACGACCAGCCACACUGGGACUGAGACAGGCCCAGACUCCUACGGAGGCAGCAGUGGGGGAAUUUUUGGGACAAUGGGCGCAAGCUGAUCCAGCAAUGCCGCGUGCAGGAUGAAGGCCU